GACGAACGCUGGCGGCGUGCUUAACACAUGCAAGUCGAACGGAAAGGCCCUGCUUUUGUGGGGUGCUCGAGUGGCGAACGGGUGAGUAACACGUGAGUAACCUGCCCUUGACUUUGGGAUAACUUCAGGAAACUGGGGCUAAUACCGGAUAGGAGCUCCUGCUGCAUGGUGGGGGUUGGAAAGUUUCGGCGGUUGGGGAUGGACUCGCGGCUUAUCAGCUUGUUGGUGGGGUAGUGGCUUACCAAGGCUUUGACGGGUAGCCGGCCUGAGAGGGUGACCGGCCACAAUGGGACUGAGAUACGGCCCAGACUCCUACGGGAGGCAGCAGUGGGGAAUAUUGCACAAUGGGCGGAAGCCUGAUGCAGCAACGCCGCGUGCGGGAUGACGGCCUUCGGGUUGUAAACCGCUUUCGCCUGUGAUGAAGCGUGAGUGACGGUAAUGGGUAAAGAAGCACCGGCUAACUACGUG
rnacentral:rRNA from 1 species